GAUGAAGAAAAACCCAACUGAAAAGACCAUGUCCUGCCUGAGACUCUUGAAAGCAGUCCCAGAUCAGGACUGUUACAUAAUGUAAAUUCUGUACGUGGCAGUAAUAAAAUGGAAUAAAAAUCCUAAUGGAAAGGAAGCUUUUAACGCAGUGUAACAUGUUGUAAUAACAAAACAACAAACAUAAAAAUGUCUUUAAAAUAAUUCUGCAGAGACAUCUUCCGGAGAGUAACAAGGAGGCAUUUCAGUUGAAGUGUUCCAGUAUGUAGAUACUUCAAGAUUUUAACAACUCUUAGUGCAGUCCACAAAUCCAGCUUUGGAUGUAAAAAAGAUCAGUCCAUCUGCUCACCUUUGGAUAGAGAGCUCAACAUGUCUCUUUUACUGUAAAUCUUAUUGGUAAAAUUAAAUAGUAAUGAGCC